UUCUUCUUCACUUUCUGCCAUUAGAGUGGUAUCAUCUGAAUAUCUGAGGUUGUUGAUAUUUCUCCUGGCAAUCUUGAUUCCAGUUUAUAACUCAUCCAGCCCAGCACUACUAUAGGUCAAGGAACACGAGGGUUUUAAGAGGAUGAUAUGGCCAGAUGUCAUCUGAGAGCUUGGGUAACAGGACUGGAAAUUGUUCUUCAGAUUUCUUGGCAUGGAGGCGAUCUGGAUGUCAGUGAGAUGGUUUUGGUGGAGUGACGAGCGCAGUGAGCAGAGGAGUGGAUGGGAGAUAAACAAAGAUGGCAAGGGUAGAACUAAAUGAAAUUUUGUUUUCAGUAGGAGAAGGGAAAUAGGAUGACGUGAGAGGCAGAUGAGACCUAAUGCCCUAGAGAGCCAGAAGUUCCUUUGAAAAACUCCUAUUUUGAAAGGUAAAAUCAAAGUUGAUUAUUUGGAUUCAUUCUACAAUAAAGGAAAACUUAUGGAAUAUGAUGCUGUUUUGGGUGUUCCAGUUAUACACCAUUAUAUCCAUCCUGUAGAAAAAUUUCUGUGUCCCAGAGAGAAGGAAAUAUGAAGAUUGGUGUCAAGAAAGAGAAGUGGGAGAGAGUUGAAUGCAUCCCUGCCCAGUUCUAUAGAAGGAGAUUUGGUCAUUUUCUAGACCAGUUACAGCUGGUCUUCUUGACCAUGAAACAUUGCCCGGUGAAAAGUCUCCAGCAUGAAACUACUGACACGUUUGAUCAGUCUCAGCACCUUCUCCAUACAUUGCACAGAUCUUUUUAUUUUUUUCUGUUUGGUUGUAUUUUUACCUUUCUUGAAAUAAUAAAGCAUAAUAUG